GCGACAGACACGGCGGAGGGAAGCGCACGCGCUGCGGCGCUCAGACCCACUUCUGCUUGUCCGGUGCUCCUCAGUCACACACACACUAAGUCUGGAGACGGAUUAUCGGUGUGACUGAAUGAAGUGCGUCACACAGAGAGAAGAAACAGAGGCGGCGAGGGACCGAGAUGCGGAGCAGAGACACGCACAAACACCGAGAACCGGGAGUGUGGAGGAACUCUGAUCCCUAACACACACACACACACACACACACACACACACACACACACACUUCACCGUGACAAGGAGUGUUUGAUGGUAAGAGGUCGGAGGUCAGCGGUCGAGGAAGGUGACUGAGUGAAUGACGUCAACGUUCGAACAGCCAGACCGCCCUCCCCUUGUUCGUCCAUCCAAGUCGAUGAGCACCGCACAGUGUCAUCAGUUUAAGUGGG
ensembl:lncRNA